rnacentral:lncRNA from 1 species
AGAAAGGAAAGGGUUCAAAAUUGGAAUGACUGGUGAUUUGAUGAUCAAAACCAGGAUGUUUAUUUGAUGGUAACUUCAGAUAUAGUACCGUUUCACUGUGUCCGAGUUGAUAAGCUAUGGAAAUUCAUCGCCAUCCAUUUCCUACAAUCUGAGAGCAGCUCCUGUCAAGACCUCCUUGACAACAAAUGUGACUUCCCAGUUAG